GAAUAUGAAUGUUUUUAUUUCUGAAGAGUCAACAAAGACAUAAAAGACUAAUUGGAUUGUCUUCAUCAAACUUCUAUUGUUCCACCUUUCACCAUUCUUAAUCUCUACUUUAUCUCCCAAACCCAAUUCCGAAAACCCCUCUUCACCAACUUAAACCCCUAUUAACCAAUUCCAACAAUCAGAUGAUUCCUACCAAGCAAGCAAAGGCCUCAAAAACUAUCCAAGAAAAUCAAGAACCAUGAUUACACAGAAACAGAGAAGAACAGAGAAAGGUCUCUGUUUUAAGCACUACUACAAAUGGAUCCUCUGUUUUUCACUUACUCUAUAUUUUGUUGCUUCCUUUUUUGUCGAUCAUGACCAAGAUGACCAUCCUUCAUCCUCUUCUUCUUCUUUGUCGCCAUCAAACCCUCUCAUAACUAACCCUAAACCCAAGCUUCUCGCUUCUCAUGCCAUGUUUGAAUCAAAAAUCCAUGACAAAAGACUUAGCUUUCGUCUUCAACGGCCCAACAUCAGAACUGAUGUUUUCAACAAUUUGAAGAUCUACGUCUAUGACUUGCCUUCCAAGUUCAACACAGAUUGGUUAGCCAACGACAGAUGCAGCAACCACCUCUUCGCUGCGGAGGUGGCUCUUCACAAAGCGUUGCUCAGCCUCGACGGAGACGUACGGACACAAGAUCCCUACGAAGCCGACUUCUUCUUCGUCCCUGUCUACGUUUCUUGCAAUUUCAGCACCGUCAAUGGCUUUCCAGCGAUUGGUCACGCCCGACCACUCAUCAAGGAGGCCAUAGACCUCAUCUCUGCUCAAUACCCGUUUUGGAAUCGUACUAGUGGCUCUGACCACGUCUUCACCGCUACACACGACUUUGGCUCUUGCUUCCACACCAUUGAGGAUAGAGCAGUCGCUGAUGGGGUACCAAGGAUGUUGAGAAACUCUAUAGUGUUGCAAACUUUUGGUGUAACUUAUAAGCAUCCAUGCCAAGAGGUAGAGAACGUCGUGAUACCACCGUACAUCUCACCGGAAAGUUUGCGUAAGACUCUAAAGAAUAUUCCGGCAGCUCAAGAACGAGACAUUAGAGUUUUCUUCCGCGGCAAGAUGGAGAUUCAUCCCAAAAACGUCAGUGGACGCUUCUACAGCAAGCGAAUAAGGACGGAGAUAUGGAGGCGUUACGGUGGUGACCGGCGGUUUUAUCUCCAACGACAAAGAUUUACCGGUUACCAGUCAGAAAUAGCUCGUUCUGUUUUCUGUUUGUGUCCUCUAGGGUGGGCCCCAUGGAGCCCGAGACUUGUUGAGUCGGUUGCACUCGGGUGCGUGCCGGUUAUUAUAGCCGACGGGAUUCGUUUGCCGUUCCCAUCCGCGGUGCGUUGGCCAGAUAUCUCGCUGACGGUGGCCGAGAGAGACGUCGGGAAACUCGGGGGUAUUUUAGAGCACGUGGCGGCUACUAAUUUGUCCGACAUACAGAAGAACCUUGAGGAUACGUCUGUUAGGCGGGCCCUUCUGUUUAACGUUCCUCCGCGAGAGGGAGAUUGUAACAUCCCGGGCCCGGCCCAAAAUGGAACCCGAGAACUGCAGGCCCAAGAGAGUGAAACCCUACUCCAAAGCCCUCCCAUCUCUUAUAAAAGGGACAUCACUCCUAGGGUUUCACCACAAGAGAGACAACAAGCGAAGCCCUGCCCGACUAGAACCUCGCCGCCGCCUCCCAUCGUCGACGACCAGCCGCCGCCGCCGGUCACCGCCGCCCGCUCGCCAGCCACCGAUCGUCCCGCUCGCAGCCCGAGCCGUCGAUCCCGAGCCCCCAGUCGUCGCCUCCUUGAUUCCUUCUCUUGUAACCUUCUCAGAUCUGAACCUCAAGAUCCGGAGAGGUGACCAACUCGUUUCCACUUCCUAGAACCAGAUCUACCCCUUCAAGAGACUAAGGUACGGCUGGGAGGGAGCAGGAGUAGGAGUCCGUAUGGUGCCAGUUGUUUUUCAAGUUCUUUUACUUUUCGAACUAUUUCCAUUUGAGUUUUUUUUGUCUUUGGAUAACCUAUCCUCGGGUUAAGUUUCGGUUUUGUGUAAGACUAUCUUGAUUUUAAUAAAGAGUUUUUGAAUGA